rnacentral:rRNA from 1 species
GGCUUGUAUUUCUUAAAAGAAUACACGGUCUCCCUUCCAUCACGUUGAGGAUCCUAUACGUUCGUUCGUUCGUUCGUUCUUUAGCUUAGCUUAGUUUCUUUCUUUAUGGGAUCCUCCGUUCUUGAGGGAGGCUUUAAGCCUUUAACUCAACAUCUUGUGAACUGUUCUGUUUCUGGCGGGUGGAUGGAGUUUUCUUCGUUUGUCAGCUCGGCAUCUAUGCCAAGCCGUGGACAUCCCGCCGACCGUUUGCAUAACUUCUGUCUUUUUUUAAUUUUAUUCUGACAUUUUGUAUGAAUAAUACAAACAACUUUUGGCAACGGAUCUCUUGGCUCUCGCAACGAUGAAGAACGCAGCGAAAUGCGAUAAGUAAUGUGAAUUGCAGAAUUCAGUGAAUCAUCGAAUCUUUGAACGCACAUUGCGCUCCCUGGUAUUCCGGGGAGCAUGCCCGUUUCAGAAUCCUUAAAAAUCUCACAAACUCGGUGCUUUCGAGCAACGUGCGAGUGGAUUUGGAUGUUUUUGCGCUUUGCAAUCAUCUGAAAAUGAUAGUGUGUGCACCAAUUGGUUCAUCCGUUGGGUUCCGAAGUGCAACAGAUUUAUCUAUUCACGGAGGUUAACUUUGACAGAUUGCCAGACGGCGCACAUUCUCCUACCAUGAUACGGAGGUUGCACCAGCUAGGUGUCGAUUUCUGAUAACUUGGUCUGAAAUCGGGCAAGAAAACCCGCUGAACUUAAGCAUAUCAAUAAGCGGAGGAAAAGAAACUAACAAGGAUUCCCCUAGUAACGGCGAGUGAAGCGGGAACAGCUCAAAUUUGAAAUCUCGCAGGGCCACCUGUGCGAAUUGUAGUUUAGAGAAGCGUUUUCGGGGGCGACUUGGGUAUAAGUCCUCUGGAAAGAGGCAUCAUAGAGGGUGACAAUCCCGUUUAUGAUCCAAUGUUCGCUCCUAUGUGAUACGUUUUCUAAGAGUCAGGUAGUUUGGGAUUGCUGCCUAAAAUGGGUGGUAAAUACCAUCUAAAGCUAAAUAAUGGCGAGAGACCGAUAGCGAACAAGUACCGUGAGGGAAAGAUGAAAAGAACUUUGAAAAGAGAGUUAAACAGUACGUGAAAUUGCCAAAAGGGAAACGCUUGGAACCAGUAUUGCCGGCAGGUAAUCAGCCGCACGUCCCGAAAGGGGUGCGUGCGGUGCACUUGCCUGCCGGCGGGUCAACAUCAGUUCGGCAUGGGGUAAAAAGCCAGAGGAAGGUAGCUUGGACUUCGGUCUGAGUGUUAUAGCCUCUGGUUAUGCCCUGGGCUGGACUGAGGGCUGCAGCGUUAUUUGGAUUGCCGAUCGCCUCCCGAAGCUUCUGCGCAGACAGCUUGCUGACUGUGUUGGAGAUUAGGGAGCCCGGUCGGUUCAUCACACCAACGC